AGUGAACGCUGGCGGUAGGCCUAACACAUGCAAGUCGAACGGCAGCACAGGAGAGCUUGCUCUCUGGGUGGCGAGUGGCGGACGGGUGAGGAAUACAUCGGAAUCUACCUUUUCGUGGGGGAUAACGUAGGGAAACUUAUGCUAAUACCGCAUACGACCUACGGGUGAAAGUGGGGGACCGCAAGGCCUCACGCGAUUAGAUGAGCCGAUGUCCGAUUAGCUAGUUGGCGGGGUAAUGGCCCACCAAGGCGACGAUCGGUAGCUGGUCUGAGAGGAUGAUCAGCCACACUGGAACUGAGACACGGUCCAGACUCCUACGGGAGGCAGCAGUGGGGAAUAUUGGAUAAUGGGCGCAAGCCUGAUCCAGCCAUACCGCGUGGGUGAAGAAGGCCUUCGGGUUGUAAAGCCCUUUUGUUGGGAAAGAAAUCCUGUCGAUUAAUACUCGGUGGGGAUGACGGUACCCAAAGAAUAAGCACCGGCUAACUUCGUGCCAGCCGCCGCCGUAA
rnacentral:rRNA from 1 species